GUGUCAUUAGCUUGUUUCCGGUGCACAAUUCAUAUAAACGGUUUACUGAGGUUAGUUUAGUUCCUGCUUUUAGAUAGUAACUAUUUGUUAGCCCAACGACCUUUGUCCGGUAGAGCAGCAGUCCCAGACAGGAUCUGGUAACUGAUCAGAGUUUUGCUGUGUUCCUCUUGACUUCCACUUCUGUGCCCCGCUGGCCAUAUUUUCUUCAUCUCCAAAGAUGUUUCCCUUAGAGAUGUGCAUCAUUGAGCAUCCCACAAUGCAUGCUCUGUUCUUGUGGACUGCAGCAAGAUCAUUCCUUCAAUAGCUCAUUGUUUAUUCUCAGCUUCAUUACCCAGUCUUCAAAUCAAGCAGCAUGAGUGGCAGUGUGGCAGCAGUAAGCACCUUACAAAUAAGAAGAUACCUCAGAGUGGCCUGUGAAAACACCUCAUCUCAUGCUAACGCAAAAUGAAAUUAAUCUCAGAACCUAUAUUCAUCCAAGAUUCAGGCCAUAAAUGAAAAUACACAAGAAAGAAGAAACUAAAAGGUUAAGGCACUGAGAAGCAGAUUUCACGUACUGUACACAGCUGAGCCCCCUUAUCAGGGGAACACAAGCUGUACGGAUCAGUUAACUUUAUGAUACAACCUUUACUUUUUACUAUUUCCUGAUCUGGUGUUCAAUUUUACAACCUUAAUGCAAGUUACUUCACUAAUAAAGCAUUUCUUAUAAAGUUUGACCAUAUUACUUAACCUUUACACAGGAACAAAGAUGUCAAAACAUGUUAAAGGCUAAUGUCUAAGGGUAUUAUGUUGACUCUUGGGAAACAAAUUGAGCUUUCCUCUGUGACGCUGUUUCAAAAUUCAUCAUUAAAAGCUAUGUGGUACAAGAAGUUGCUAUCUUUAACCUUGCACCACGUGUUCUUCAG
ensembl:lncRNA